UUCGGUAAAAAUCUGAAGAUCGCGUGAGCGAGGUCAGGUCCGAGUCCGUCCCGAAGGAGUAGGAGAGAAUAGGAGGAGAAGGCGCCAGUGUGAAGUGUAGAGGCAGAAGAAGACGUAGGGCGGAGCUAGACCUAGGUGUUCUCUAGUCGGGACGUUACCGGUCGCAACCGCCGCUACGGUUCUUCUCGGACUGCGUCACCGAGCCCCUCUUUCCCAAGCUGCUCCUCCGGUAGUCCGCGUACAGCUUCGCCACGUCCUUGGACGGCUUGGAGCUGCGGCCGCUCCGGAGGCCGCAGACCCUGAUGGAGGAGUUGCUGCAGUUCUAGCUCGUGGCCUUCGACGCCAUGCACCACUGGUUCACGGGGUUCCACGAGUGGUACAGGCAGUUGCUGUUCGAGUAGGGGUGCCAGGUUACGGAGUGGUGCGACGUCCGGUUCGGGCCCCUCUAGCGCGUCCGGUAGUAGUUCAAGGGCGGCUAUGACAAGGUGUCGCACCUCCUCUUCGAGACGGGAGAGGAGCGGAAGAAGGUCUGCGACCGGUAGAGGCUCUUCGUCGAGCGGUUCGACGAGUACCAGUUGGGCGCGGAGUAGUCGAUGUCGUAGGUCCGGUUCAAGAGGGUCUGCCAGCUGAAGGAGCAGCCGGAACCGUAGCUGUCCCUCCAGUACUAACCGUUCUAGGACUGGUUCCUCGGCAUGUAGUACCCUAUGUCGUAGCUGUUCGCCGAUGCAGGAUGACGGCUCAAGGAGUUCAGCCGUCAGCCCAACGUCCCCAGUAUAGAGGUCUCCCAGUAGUACUUAAAGGGAUCGUAUGACAGCGCUCUACAGCUGUUCUGAGACGCCGGGUUAAACCACAAGGACGUCUCGUGACCUAAGUCGUUCCUAGUCUAGUACUUUAACCACCGACCUAUGGGAGGACAAGAGUAGUUCUCAUAGUUCGUAACGAACCUCGGUUCCCACUUCAAGGACCAACUUCUUUACCCCGCCCUGUUCCCGCUCCACCACCUAAUGGGGGUUAAGAAAGUGGUACCAGAGUUCUCCUCGGACCUCAUGGCGGUGUUCUAUGAGUUCGUCUACUUGAGUUCCACCUAGACUUUUACGAGGUCACCUUUCUGAUUUCACUCGUUCGCCGAGACCGACUGCUUCUCGUAUACCUACUCACCUCGAAGGACUACGACUAAAGAAGCACC
rnacentral:rRNA from 1 species